rnacentral:rRNA from 1 species
AAAUUGAAGAGUUUGAUCAUGGCUCAGAUUGAACGCUGGCGGCAGGCCUAACACAUGCAAGUCGAGCGGUAGCACAGAGAGCUUGCUCUCGGGUGACGAGCGGCGGACGGGUGAGUAAUGUCUGGGAAACUGCCUGAUGGAGGGGAUAACUACUGGAAACGGUAGCUAAUACCGCAUAACGUCGCAAGACCAAAGUGGGGACCUUCGGGCCUCAUGCCAUCAGAUGUGCCCAGAUGGGAUUAGCUAGUAGGUGGGGUAACGGCUCACCUAGGCGACGAUCCUAGCUGGUCUGAGAGGAUGACCAGCCACACUGGAACUGAGACACGGUCCAGACUCCUACGGGAGGCAGCAGUGGGAAUAUUGCACAAUGGGCGCAAGCCUGAUGCAGCCAUGCCGCGUGUGUGAAGAAGGCCUUCGGGUUGUAAAGCACUUUCAGCGGGGAGGAAGGCGUUAAGGUUAAUAACCUUGGCGAUUGACGUUACCCGCAGAAGAAGCACCGGCUAACUCCGUGCCAGCAGCCGCGGUAAUACGGAGGGUGCAAGCGUUAAUCGGAAUUACUGGGCGUAAAGCGCACGCAGGCGGUCUGUCAAGUCGGAUGUGAAAUCCCGGGCUCAACCUGGGAACUGCAUUCGAAACUGGCAGGCUAGAGUCUUGUAGAGGGGGAAUUCCGGUGUAGCGGUGAAAUGCGUAGAGAUCUGGAGGAAUACCGGUGGCGAAGGCGGCCCCUGGACAAAGACUGACGCUCAGGUGCGAAAGCGUGGGAGCAAACAGGAUUAGAUACCCUGGUAGUCCACGCCGUAAACGAUGUCGAUUUGGAGGUUGUGCCCUUGAGGCGUGGCUUCCGGAGCUAACGCGUUAAAUCGACCGCCUGGGAGUACGGCCGCAAGGUUAAAACUCAAAUGAAUUGACGGGGCCCGCACAAGCGGUGGAGCAUGUGGUUUAAUUCGAUGCAACGCGAAGAACCUUACCUGGUCUUGACAUCCACAGAACUUUCCAGAGAUGGAUUGGUGCCUUCGGGAACUGUGAGACAGGUGCUGCAUGGCUGUCGUCAGCUCGUGUUGUGAAAUGUUGGGUUAAGUCCCGCAACGAGCGCAACCCUUAUCCUUUGUUGCCAGCGGUUCGGCCGGGAACUCAAAGGAGACUGCCAGUGAUAAACUGGAGGAAGGUGGGGAUGACGUCAAGUCAUCAUGGCCCUUACGACCAGGGCUACACACGUGCUACAAUGGCAUAUACAAAGAGAAGCGACCUCGCGAGAGCAAGCGGACCUCAUAAAGUAUGUCGUAGUCCGGAUUGAGUCUGCAACUCGACUCCAUGAAGUCGGAAUCGCUAGUAAUCGUAGAUCAGAAUGCUACGGUGAAUACGUUCCCGGGCCUUGUACACACCGCCCGUCACACCAUGGGAGUGGGUUGCAAAAGAAGUAGGUAGCUUAACCUUCGGGAGGGCGCUUACCACUUUGUGAUUCAUGACUGGGGUGAAGUCGUAACAAGGUAACCGUAGGGGAACCUGCGGUUGGAUCACCUCCUUA